GACGCAUGUUAACACCGACAAAACAACAGAAAUGCCGAUCUGUAGCUCUUCUUCAUCAUCUUCUUCCUCUAGCUCCGCAAAAUCAUGGAUCCUUCACGGCUUAGCCGUCGGAGCAGCAGCAGCAGCCGUAGCUCUCGGCGCUCACGCUUACCUUAGCCGAUCCGGCAAGUUUCGGAGCCGGGUCAUAGGUAUCAUACCCGCUCGUUUUGCUUCUACUCGGUUUCAAGGGAAACCGCUCGUUCAGAUUCUCGGCAAGCCUAUGAUCCAGAGAACAUGGGAAAGGGCAAAGCUUGCUGAGACAUUGGAUCAAGUUGUUGUGGCAACAGAUGAUGAAAAGAUAGCUGAGUGCUGUCGUGGUUUUGGCGCUGAAGUGAUAAUGACUUCUGAAUCAUGUAGAAACGGAACCGAGCGUUGUAAUGAAGCUCUUCAAAAGCUUGAUAAGAAGUAUGACAUUGUUGUUAAUAUACAAGGAGAUGAACCUCUUAUUGAACCUGAAAUAAUAGAUGGCAUCGUCAAAGCCCUACAGUCUGCACCAGAUGCGGUCUUUAGCACUGCUGUGACAUCUUUGAAACCUGAGGAUGCAUUUGAUCCAAAUCGUGUUAAAUGUGUGGUAGACAAUCGUGGUUAUGCAAUAUAUUUUUCACGAGGGCUCAUCCCUUAUAACAAGUUAGGCAAGGUUAAUCCUCAGUUUCCUUACUUGCUGCACCUCGGGAUCCAGAGUUAUGAUACGAAGUUCCUGAAAAUAUAUCCAGAGCUGACACCAACACCGUUGCAACUAGAAGAAGAUCUUGAGCAGCUAAAAGUCCUUGAAAAUGGAUACAAAAUGAAGGUGAUAAA
rnacentral:misc_RNA from 1 species